GGAUAACGGGUCAAGAUAAGGCAAGGUCACAAAUACACUUAUUGGAGCACUCAAGGUAAGUGAUUUCUAUAAUCACUUCUUAUUUUAUUUAAGUAAAGUAGCGUUAGUUGAUUAAGCAUGAUGGGACCGAAUGGGACAAUAUAAAGUUGUAAUGCUAUGACGAAUAAUGUCUAUGUAAUGGCUACGGUAUGUAACCGGGUAAUGGGUAAAAUUGCACAUAAGU
rnacentral:lncRNA from 1 species